AAUAAAGUGCCUGACAAAAGGGUUAAAUUGUAAAUUUAACUAUAAGCCCACGCUUCUUUAUUA
rnacentral:tRNA from 1 species